rnacentral:misc_RNA from 1 species
AACUUGAAUAAAUCUCAUGAUACCACCAUGCUCUUUGGCAAUCAUUGCAAGCUGUUCAGCUAUAUGGAGGUUGACUUCAUCAAAGCUGUAAUUUCUCGUCUCAUAAUCCCUUCCAAUGAGAUUGAUCACAACAUUAGCUUUAGCCAUCACUGCCUUAACUGAAUUUUCAUCCCGGGGAUUGUAUUUCAUAGGAACAAUCUGUCCUAAGUCACCCAUCAACUUAAGAUGACGAGGAGAAUCCUCAGAUCCACGGAAAGGAACCAAGACUUGACUGCCCAUUUUAGCAAGCUGUUGUACAACAUAACGCCCCAGAAAUCCAGUAGCUCCAAAGACUGUAGCGACGAUUCCACUAACGGAUGAUCUUCCUCCAGUUCCCUUACGAAUUAGAGGUCCCGCACCCCCGGUGGCAAGGUUAGAUGCGUAGCGCGGAGUAAGAUAACCAUAGUAGUGAUCAUCAGAAAGAGGAUAGAGAGACUUGAAUGAUGAAAUGGCAGGCGAAUGAUGUUUCAAAGAUUGGUGCCCUAGUUUUCUCGUGAUGGCCUGCAUCUUCGUUCUCAGCGGAGCUCGAGCUCACAGAGAAUGGGAGAAGAUUGAUUGAUAUCGGCGCUGUUAAGGGAA